UACGUAGGGUGCGAGCGUUGUCCGGAAUUAUUGGGCGUAAAGAGCUUGUAGGCGGUUUGUCGCGUCUGCUGUGAAAAUCCGAGGCUCAACCUCGGACUUGCAGUGGGUACGGGCAGACUAGAGUGUGGUAGGGGAGACUGGAAUUCCUGGUGUAGCGGUGGAAUGCGCAGAUAUCAGGAGGAACACCAAUAGCGAAGGCAGCUCGCUGGGACGUUACUGACACUGAGGCGCGAAAGCGUGGGGAGCGAACAGG
rnacentral:rRNA from 1 species